GUCAAUGUAUGGUUUAGUGGUUAGCACAUUCGCCUCACAUGUCCAGGGUCCGGGGUUCGAUUCCCGCCGGGGCCA